UGUGUACUGAGUGCGGGUGUGGCUGCUGUGUCAUGUGUGUGUCAAGAGGUGGCAGACAGGGGAAAGGCUGUGAGUCUUCUGACCUACAGCCAUCUGAACAAUUAGCAGCCUACAUU
ensembl:snoRNA LOC120093473 small nucleolar RNA SNORA17